UACGUAGGGGGGCAAGCGUUUGUCCGGAAUCAUUGGGCGUAAAGAGCGCGUAGGCGGCCCUGUAAGUCCGCUGUGAAAGUCAAGGGCUCAACCCUUGAAUGCCGGUGGAUACUGCAGGGCUAGAGUCCGGAAGAGGCGAGUGGAAUUCCUGGUGUAGCGGUGAAAUGCGCAGAUAUCGAGAGGAACACCAGUGGCGAAGGCGGCACUCUGGGCCGGUACUGACGCUGAGGAGCGAAAGCGUGGGGAGCGAACAGG
rnacentral:rRNA from 1 species